AACGAACGCUGGCGGCAUGCCUAACACAUGCAAGUCGAACGAGACCUUCGGGUCUAGUGGCGCACGGGUGCGUAACGCGUGGGAACCUGCCCUUAGGUUCGGAAUAACUCCCCGAAAGGGGUGCCAAUACCGGAUAAUGUCUUCGGACCAAAGAUUUAUCACCUUUGGAUGGGCCCGCGUUGGAUUAGCUAGUUGGUAGGGUAAAAGCCUACCAAGGCGACGAUCCAUAGCUGGUCUGAGAGGAUGAUCAGCCACACUGGGACUGAGACACGGCCCAGACUCCUACGGGAGGCAGCAGUGGGGAAUAUUGGACAAUGGGCGAAAGCCUGAUCCAGCAAUGCCGCGUGAGUGAUGAAGGCCUUAGGGUUGUAAAGCUCUUUUACCCGGGAUGAUAAUGACAGUACCGGGAGAAUAAGCGCCGGCUAACUCCGUG
rnacentral:rRNA from 1 species